rnacentral:rRNA from 1 species
UACGAAGGGGGCUAGCGUUGCUCGGAAUCACUGGGCGUAAAGGGUGCGUAGGCGGGUUUUUAAGUCAGGGGUGAAAUCCUGGAGCUCAACUCCAGAACUGCCUUUGAUACUGAAGAUCUUGAGUCCGGGAGAGGUGAGUGGAACUGCGAGUGUAGAGGUGAAAUUCGUAGAUAUUCGCAAGAACACCAGUGGCGAAGGCGGCUCACUGGCCCGGUACUGACGCUGAUGCACGAAAGCGCUGGGGAGCAAACAGG